CUAUGAAGUACUUAGGAGAUCCAAAAGAGAUCCAAAAAGAUCCAUUUCUCGAGUAACAACAUCAAAGUUGUCCCAGCCUGAAAAGACAGACCAACGUUCAGGUUGGACUUGGAAGAAGGCCCUGUCCUGCCCUCAUCUUGACAUUGUUUGCAUGCUGCUCAGCUUACUCAUGACCAUUCUGUCAGCAUGAAAAAGAGAAGACUCGAGGCUACUUUCACGCUUGGGGCUUGUCUUUUUGCUGUCAAAAAUGUUUCUUGUUCUGCAAGAAAAUAAAUGACUUCAAACACAGCUCUUUCUUAUGCAGCUGUUAUGCAGGUAAAGGUGGGUUUGUAAAAUGUGAGUGUAUCUGUCUAUGUAAGAACUGAAAGGUU